UACGUAGGGAGCAAGCGUUGUCCGGAAUCAUUGGGCGUAAAGCGCGCGUAGGUGGCCUCAUAAGUCCGCUGUGAAAGUCAAAGGCUCAACCUUUGAAAGCCGGUGGAUACUGUGAGGCUAGAGUACGGAAGAGGCGAGUGGAAUUCCUGGUGUAGCGGUGGAAUGCGCAGAUAUCAGGAGGAAACACCAAUAGCGAAGGCAGCUCGCUGGGACGUUACUGACACUGAGGCGCGAAAGCGUGGGGAGCGAACAGG
rnacentral:rRNA from 1 species